rnacentral:rRNA from 1 species
GCAUUAUACCGUGAAACUGCGAAUGGCUCAUAAAUCAGUAUCGUUUAUUUGAUAGUACCUUACCACCUUCGAUAACCGUGGUAAUUCUAGAGCUAAUACAUGCUAAAAACCCCGGACCUUCGGAAGGGGUGUGUUUAUUAGAUAAAAAACCAAUGCCCUUUCGGGGCUCUUUGGUGAUUCAUGAUAACCUAACGGAUCGCAUGGCCUUGCGCCGGCGACGGUUCAUUCAAAUUUCUGCCCUAUCAACUUUCGAUGGUAAGGUAUUGGCUUACCAUGGUUUCAACGGGUAACGGGGAAUUAGGGUUCGAUUCCGGAGAGGGAGCCUGAGAAACGGCUACCACAUCCAAGGAAGGCAGCAGGCGCGCAAAUUACCCAAUCCCGACACGGGGAGGUAGUGACAAUAAAUACUGAUAUAGGGCUCUUUUGGGUCUUGUAAUUGGAAUGAGUACAAUUUAAACCCCUUAACGAGGAACAAUUGGAGGGCAAGUCUGGUGCCAGCAGCCGCGGUAAUUCCAGCUCCAAUAGCGUAUAUUAAAGUUGUUGCAGUUAAAAAGCUCGUAGUUGAAACUUGGGUCUGGCUAGCGGGUCCGCCUCACCGCGUGCACUUGUCCGGCUGGACCUUUCCUUCUGGAGAACCUCAUGCCCUUCACUGGGUGUGUUGGGGAACCAGGACUUUUACUUUGAAAAAAUUAGAGUGUUCAAAGCAGGCCUUUGCUCGAAUACGUUAGCAUGGAAUAAUAGAAUAGGACGUGCGGUCCUAUUUUGUUGGUUUCUAGGAUCGCCGUAAUGAUUAAUAGGGAUAGUCGGGGGCAUCAGUAUUCAAUUGUCAGAGGUGAAAUUCUUGGAUUUAUUGAAGACUAACUACUGCGAAAGCAUUUGCCAAGGAUGUUUUCAUUAAUCAGUGAACGAAAGUUAGGGGAUCGAAGACGAUCAGAUACCGUCGUAGUCUUAACCGUAAACUAUGCCGACUAGGGAUCGGGCGAUGUUUCUAUCUUGACUCGCUCGGCACCUUACGAGAAAUCAAAGUUUUUGGG